UACUAAUGCACAAAUUAAUGUAUGCUGUGAAACGAUCCCAGAGUGGCAAAUUUUAUUAGCUAUGGCUCCAAAUUUUACACAGGGGACUCCAUUAAAGAUAACCCGACUAUUAGAUAAUUGACAGUGGAUUCUUGAAGAAAAGGUUUUUAAAGGUCCUCUUAAAGGACCAACUCUCUUUACAGAUGCAUCCAAACGGAAUAUUUGUGCUGUAUACUCUUGUGACUUAACUGUAAAGAGAGUACUCAGAAUUCCUUUUCAGUCCACUCAGCAGAAUGAAUUGUAUGCGAUCAUUCUAGCUCUUACUUAUUAUCCAGGAGGGAUAAAUAGAGUAUCUGAUUUAGCCUGUUCAGUAGGUGUGGUACAAAAAAUUGCCAUAGCCCAAAUAAAAUUUGUAACCUCUAAUAUAUAUCAGCUCUUUUAGGAACUUCAAGAGCAAGUGAGAAAGCAUCCAGAGAGAGAUGGAGCACACCUUGAAAGGAAGAAGACCCAAGAAACAUCUGGUGGUUCUAUUGCUGACUGUGCUCACCACUGAAUGAGCACGGCAGUUAUGGCGUUUGACUCAUGGACAUCAAAAAUUGUAGAACUUCAAAACUCUCAGGAAUCAUUGGAUUCUCUGAGACAUGAUAAGAUUGUUGUAGGAUUUCAAAAUCUGAUGGAAUCACUGGAUUCUCUGAGAUAUGAUAAGACUGUUGCAGGACUUCAAAAACUUGUGGGAAUCAUUGAAUCCCCGGAUAUGUGAAGCAAUGGACAAUAGAUUGAUUUUGGACUAUCUCUUGGCUACUGAAGAAGGUGUGUAUGUGACUGUUGUUUAUAUACCCUUCUUCUAGAACUUCUGGAAAUCUUUUACAACACUAUGUUGAUUCAUAUUGUUUGUUAUAUCACUACUUGCAUGUACAAUUGAUGUUUGUUGUACCACAUUGAGCCUGCACUGGUUGUGGGGAGAGUCAUCACUACUAGCCUGUGCAAUAUUGAUAUGUGCUUGUGUAAUACCUCCCAUGCUGAUGGGUUUGUGCAUACCUGUUUCUAAUAAAACCCUUCAGCCCAGAAA